CAUCUUGCACAGCGGUAAAUUUGUAAGGGGCUAUACUUCAUAGAAAACUACUUUGGGUGUAUUUUUUAAAUAAUAAAGGUGAUUCCAUUAUGACAUGGAGUAUCAUUCUUUAAAUUGCUGUUCCAAGAUGGCGGAGAUGAACUAUAAUGAAGAUUAUGGAUCUGAAUUUGAUGAGCAAGAGUCUAAAAGAACAUGGAAAGAUGAUGAACUUUCUGGUAUCAAAAGGAAGAGCAACNCGACUACAGGUGUGACUUCAAAGAAGUUCAUGACAGAGGAAUAUAGCAGGGUAGAAGGAAGGAAUCAAAGGUUCCAUUUUCUUGCAUUAGAUGCUUAUUCAAGGCACAAAAAGAUGAUAAAUGAUUAUCUGUUGUACUAUGGACCAGGAAUUGAACAUUUCAAAAGAGACAGUGCACAAGUCUUACUUUUUGGUUACAUGCAAGACCUUUUAGAGACAUCUAAACUGGAACUGUUUGCAAUACUUGGUAAAGAAGGCUCUUCUUGUGGUGCAAUUUCAACAAGAAUCACUGUACCUUUAUUGGAGCUCUCAUGUUUUCUUCCUUAUGGACCAAACAAUGGCCGUUUAAAAGCCUACUCCAUUACAAAGUGUAUUUUGUCAUGUUUCCUUCCAAAACUAACAAAGGUCUUUGGUUGUAAAUGUUGCUGUCAUAAACUUGUUAGGUCCUACCAUAUUAAAAACAUAUUCUUUUACAUGCUUAAAAACUAUGAGGAAGAUAUUCACUGGCAAGAUGACAAAGUCCCUCUACGUGUUUUAGAAAUAUUUUUAAUUUUGAGGCAAUGCAUGGAACUUUCUGAUGAGGAAUCCAGCAAUGAUGCUGCUAUUUCAACAUUUUGUUUGCCUGGAACUCUGUACUUGGAGAAUGUUACCAAUUCAAGUCCAUACUAUGCAGAUGAAGGUGGAAGUGAAUUCUUUUUCACUCCAGAUUCUCAUAAGCCCAGGUAUCAACUGAGUUCAUCACCAGUGUUUGAAGAGUAUCUUACAACUGGAAAUGAUGAAGCUGAUGGUGCACUGAGGGAAUGGUUUAACACGUUAAAUAGCAAACCUUGGAACUCAAAACAACUUUUGCAAGAUCUGAUAACCUUAUUAGAUAGGUUAAAUGAAAUCAUCCCUUAAGAUAGUAAAACAGUUUUUACUUUAUCAAAUGCUGGCUAUAAUGACAUUAGAUAUUUAGUGGAAAGACGUUUAGUAUGGUCUGUGGUGAAAUUCAGCUGUCAACAAUGUACCAACCCAAGUAUGUUUGAUGUGUCUAAAUGAGAUGAGACCACCAUUUUAAGUGGUCAUCCAAUCCAUGGUGAAGGUCUAACCAUUUGGAACUAUUUUUAGAGCAAAGACAGCACCUUCUACUCAGUUUUGAGUGUUGGUCCAGCCAAGGCUUUAACCAAAACCUAGAGCACAAUAAUGUCCAGCCAGAAGGGGGAUUUUUGAGCCAUUUCCAACUUUGCAUGAUCCUUACAAACAUGGACUCUUAAAGGUCUUUUCAUUAUAAUUAUUUCUACCUUAGUGUCUGAUUUUGCUAGUUCUAGAGAUGCUACUGACUUAGAUGUUCUUCGAAAGGAGCACAGGUUUAUCUGGAAUGAGAAUGAAGACUCAG
rnacentral:misc_RNA from 1 species